rnacentral:rRNA from 1 species
GACGGGACCUGCCCAAGAAAAUGCGGCCCACUACGUUCCGUGCCCCCCGGUGAUAUAUAAGCUUCGGUGGUUGUCCGGAUUUAUUGUACUGAAAGAGCUCGUAUGCGGUUCGGUUAGUCGGGUGUGAAAACUCUGGCCUUAACCCAAACCCUGCCCUGCAUUCUGCUCUGACUAGAUUUCGGUAGGGAAGGGAGAAUUUCCUUCCUGGUGUAUGAAAUGAAUGCAUAUUUAUAGGAACGAACUGGAUGGCGACUGCUCUGGCUGGAUACUGACUGUCACUAACGAAAGCAUGGGUGGCAAACAGGAUUAAUUACCCUGGUAGUCCACGCCGUAAACGAUGGGCACUAGGUGUGGGUCUC